rnacentral:rRNA from 1 species
AGUGGGGACGGGUGAGUAACACGUGGGUAACCUCCCAUCAGAGGGGAUAACACUUGGAAACAGGUGCUAAACCGAUACUGAUGGAUGGACCCGCGGUGCAUUAGCUAGUUGGUGAGGUAAAGGCUCACCAAGGCCACGAUGCAUAGCCGAGCCACGAGUGUGAUAGCCACAAUGGGGACUGAGAAACGGUCCAGACUCCGACGGGAGGCAGCAGUAGGGAAGUGUCGGCAAUGGACGAAAGUCGGACCGAGCAACGCCGCUUGGGUGAAGAAGGUGUUCGGAUCGUAAAACUCUGUUGGUAGAGAAGCGGUAUCUAACCAGAAAGCCACGGCUAACUACGUGCCAGCCGCCGCGGUAAUAC